rnacentral:tRNA from 1 species
GCUCCGGUAGCUCAGGGGAUAGAGCAGUUCCCUUCUAAGGAAAAGGUCGGGGGUUCAAAUCCCUCUCGGGGCACCA